UACGAAGGGGGCUAGCGUUGCUCGGAAUUACUGGGCGUAAAGGGCGCGUAGGCGGCCAUUCAAGUCAGAGGUGAAAGCCCAGGGCUCAACCUUGGAACUGCCUUUGAAACUAGAUGGCUAGAAUUCUGGAGAGGUCAGUGGAAUUCCGAGUGUAGAGGUGAAAUUCGUAGAUAUUCGGAAGAACACCAGUGGCGAAGGCGACUGACUGGACAGAUAUUGACGCUGAGGUGCGAAAGCGUGGGGAGCAAACAGG
rnacentral:rRNA from 1 species